AGGGUGACAGCCCCGUACACAAAAAUGCACAUGCUGUGAGCUCGAUGAGUAGGGCGGGACACGUGGUAUCCUGUCUGAAUAUGGGGGGACCAUCCUCCAAGGCUAAAUACUCCUGACUGACCGAUAGUGAACCAGUACCGUGAGGGAAAGGCGAAAAGAACCCCGGCGAGGGGAGUGAAAAAGAACCUGAAACCGUGUACGUACAAGCAGUGGGAGCACGCUUAGGCGUGUGACUGCGUACCUUUUGUAUAAUGGGUCAGCGACUUAUAUUCUGUAGCAAGGUUAACCGAAUAGGGGAGCCGAAGGGAAACCGAGUCUUAACUGGGCGUUAAGUUGCAGGGUAUAGACCCGAAACCCGGUGAUCUAGCCAUGGGCAGGUUGAAGGUUGGGUAACACUAACUGGAGGACCGAACCGACUAAUGUUGAAAAAUUAGCGGAUGACUUGUGGCUGGGGGUGAAAGGCCAAUCAAACCGGGAGAUAGCUGGUUCUCCCCGAAAGCUAUUUAGGUAGCGCCUCGUGAAUUCAUCUCCGGGGGUAGAGCACUGUUUCGGCAAGGGGGUCAUCCCGACUUACCAACCCGAUGCAAACUGCGAAUACCGGAGAAUGUUAUCACGGGAGACACACGGCGGGUGCUAACGUCCGUCGUGAAGAGGGAAACAACCCAGACCGCCAGCUAAGGUCCCAAAGUCAUGGUUAAGUGGGAAACGAUGUGGGAAGGCCCAGACAGCCAGGAUGUUGGCUUAGAAGCAGCCAUCAUUUAAAGAAAGCGUAAUAGCUCACUGGUCGAGUCGGCCUGCGCGGAAGAUGUAACGGGGCUAAACCAUGCACCGAAGCUGCGGCAGCGACACUGUGUGUUGUUGGGUAGGGGAGCGUUCUGUAAGCCUGCGAAGGUGUGCUGUGAGGCAUGCUGGAGGUAUCAGAAGUGCGAAUGCUGACAUAAGUAACGAUAAAGCGGGUGAAAAGCCCGCUCGCCGGAAGACCAAGGGUUCCUGUCCAACGUUAAUCGGGGCAGGGUGAGUCGACCCCUAAGGCGAGGCCGAAAGGCGUAGUCGAUGGGAAACAGGUUAAUAUUCCUGUACUUGGUGUUACUGCGAAGGGGGGACGGAGAAGGCUAUGUUGGCCGGGCGACGGUUGUCCCGGUUUAAGCGUGUAGGCUGGUUUUCCAGGCAAAUCCGGAAAAUCAAGGCUGAGGCGUGAUGACGAGGCACUACGGUGCUGAAGCAACAAAUGCCCUGCUUCCAGGAAAAGCCUCUAAGCAUCAGGUAACAUCAAAUCGUACCCCAAACCGACACAGGUGGUCAGGUAGAGAAUACCAAGGCGCUUGAGAGAACUCGGGUGAAGGAACUAGGCAAAAUGGUGCCGUAACUUCGGGAGAAGGCACGCUGAUAUGUAGGUGAAGUCCCUCGCGGAUGGAGCUGAAAUCAGUCGAAGAUACCAGCUGGCUGCAACUGUUUAUUAAAAACACAGCACUGUGCAAACACGAAAGUGGACGUAUACGGUGUGACGCCUGCCCGGUGCCGGAAGGUUAAUUGAUGGGGUCAGCGCAAGCGAAGCUCUUGAUCGAAGCCCCGGUAAACGGCGGCCGUAACUAUAACGGUCCUAAGGUAGCGAAAUUCCUUGUCGGGUAAGUUCCGACCUGCACGAAUGGCGUAAUGAUGGCCAGGCUGUCUCCACCCGAGACUCAGUGAAAUUGAACUCGCUGUGAAGAUGCAGUGUACCCGCGGCAAGACGGAAAGACCCCGUGAACCUUUACUAUAGCUUGACACUGAACAUUGAGCCUUGAUGUGUAGGAUAGGUGGGAGGCUUUGAAGUGUGGACGCCAGUCUGCAUGGAGCCGACCUUGAAAUACCACCCUUUAAUGUUUGAUGUUCUAACGUUGACCCGUGAUCCGGGUUGCGGACAGUGUCUGGUGGGUAGUUUGACUGGGGCGGUCUCCUCCUAAAGAGUAACGGAGGAGCACGAAGGUUGGCUAAUCCUGGUCGGACAUCAGGAGGUUAGUGCAAUGGCAUAAGCCAGCUUGACUGCGAGCGUGACGGCGCGAGCAGGUGCGAAAGCAGGUCAUAGUGAUCCGGUGGUUCUGAAUGGAAGGGCCAUCGCUCAACGGAUAAAAGGUACUCCGGGGAUAACAGGCUGAUACCGCCCAAGAGUUCAUAUCGACGGCGGUGUUUGGCACCUCGAUGUCGGCUCAUCACAUCCUGGGGCUGAAGUAGGUCCCAAGGGUAUGGCUGUUCGCCAUUUAAAGUGGUACGCGAGCUGGGUUUAGAACGUCGUGAGACAGUUCGGUCCCUAUCUGCCGUGGGCGCUGGAGAACUGAGGGGGGCUGCUCCUAGUACGAGAGGACCGGAGUGGACGCAUCACUGGUGUUCGGGUUGUCAUGCCAAUGGCACUGCCCGGUAGCUAAAUGCGGAAGAGAUAAGUGCUGAAAGCAUCUAAGCACGAAACUUGCCCCGAGAUGAGUUCUCCCUGACUCCUUGAGAGUCCUGAAGGAACGUUGAAGACGACGACGUUGAUAGGCCGGGUGUGUAAGCGCAGCGAUGCGUUGAGCUAACCGGUACUAAUGAACCGUGAGGCUUAACCUU
rnacentral:rRNA from 1 species